rnacentral:misc_RNA from 3 species
AGCAUUCGUCUUCUGGUUACGGGGCCAUAGCUCAGCUGGGAGAGCGCGUGCUUUGCAAGCAUGAGGUCGUCGGUUCGAUCCCGUCUGGCUCCACCAGCCUUCGCUGGCUGAAGCCAGCUACGGCUAGGCGAGCCUGAUCAGAGCGAAGGCUGCCACGGCGAAGCUCGAAGAGCGAAGCCGGGCUGGCGCCGGGUAGAACCAAAUCGUCCGCGAAACAUCACUUCGCACUCACGAGUCCGGAUGGACAGUGACGUGCGUGUUUUCUGACAUCGUAAAGAGGAGAUCGAUCCGAGUUUGGAUCAAGCGAAGCAAUUCGCCUGACCCAUUCACUAUCUCCGGGAUCAUUUCGGCGCUCGCUUCAGUCGUGAGAUUGAAUGCGGGUUGUAAAUGAUCCUUUGUUAGCGAAGCUUGACCGCCUCGCUAUCGGGCCGAUCUUACGAAGCAAGCUGGUCUUUCUAGUCAAUGUCCGGCUGUGACAAUCGCAUUCAUCGAGGAUGCGCGCCUUCAAUGGCAGUUGCACAGACAACAUUCUGCCGAGUGUGUGGACAUUGAUAAUGAGAGCAAUCAAGUGCCUUAAGGGUGUUCGGUGGAUGCCUUGGCGCUGAGAGGCGAUGAAGGACGUGCUACGCUGCGAUAAGCCGU